GGGCAUCGGGAGGGAAGCUUGCUUUCCUUGCCGGCGACCGGCGCACGGGUGAGUAACACGUAUGCAACCUGCCCUCUUCAGGGGGACAACCUUCCGAAAGGGAGGCUAAUCCCGCGUAUAUCGGUUUCGGGCAUCCGAGAUCGAGGAAAGAUUCAUCGGAAGAGGAUGGGCAUGCGGCGCAUUAGCUAGACGGCGGGGUAACGGCCCACCGUGGCGACGAUGCGUAGGGGUUCUGAGAGGAAGGUCCCCCACACUGGUACUGAGACACGGACCAGACUCCUACGGGAGGCAGCAGUGAGGAAUAUUGGUCAAUGGGAGAGAUCCUGAACCAGCCAAGCCGCGUGAGGGAAGACGGCCCUAUGGGUUGUAAACCUCUUUUGUCGGAGAACAAAACCCGGGACGUGUCCCGGACUGCGUGUAUCCGAAGAAAAAGCAUCGGCUAACUCCGUGCCAGCAGCCGCGGUAAUACGGAGGAUGCGAGCGUUAUCCGGAUUUAUUGGGUUUAAAGGGUGCGUAGGCGGUCCGUUAAGUCAGCGGUAAAAUUGCGGGGCUCAACCCCGUCGAGCCGUUGAAACUGGCAGACUUGAGUUGGCGAGAAGUACGCGGAAUGCGCGGUGUAGCGGUGAAAUGCAUAGAUAUCG
rnacentral:rRNA from 1 species